rnacentral:rRNA from 1 species
CAGUAGCCGCGGUAAUACGAAGGUCCCGAGCGUUGUUCGGAAUCACUGGGCGUAAAGGGAGCGUAGGCGGCGUGGUAAGUCAGAUGUGAAAUCCCGGGGCUCAACCCCGGAACUGCAUCCGAUACUGCCAUGCUAGAGGAUUGGAGAGGUAGCUGGAAUUCUUGGUGUAGCAGUGAAAUGCGUGGAGAUCAAGAGGAACACUCGUGGCGAAAGCGAGCUACUGGACAAUAACUGACGCUGAGGCUCGAAGGCCAGGGUAGCGGAAGGGAUUAGAUACCCCUGUAGUCCCUGUCUCUUAUAC